AACGGCCGUACCAUGCUGAAUAUACCGGUUCUCGUUAGAUCACCGAAGUCAAGCAUCAUUGGGCGCGGUCAGUACUUGGGUGGGUGAUCAAAAACACCGCGUGCCG